rnacentral:lncRNA from 1 species
UUUUUUUUUGGGGGGGAUUUUUUUUUCUGCAACCUUAUAGUUCUGCAUAAUUAUUAUUUUUACCCAAUAAAUAUUGAUGAUAUUUUUGGCACGUCUAACCUUUUUUUUCAUUCAUCACCAAUAUAUGCUUAUUGCCUUCUUUCAGAUCGACAAAACCUCUUCAUUUAGUCCUACUCUCAUGUUUUCAUAUCAUCAUCUAUCCCAUAUCCCAAAUUUUUAAAAAAAUGAAAAGAUAAUAUAUUUUUUAUC